GGCUGUCCUGUCUGCUCCCAUCUCUCCUGCAAAGCUCCAGCCAGCACACUGCCAUGGAGACAGCAGCUGCCCAGCCCAGGCCCCCGCAUCCUGUGGGAACGGGGACGAGCCCCUCCGUGCUGACCGAGUGUCUGGGGCAUCCCCUGGGCUAUAGUCAGGUACCGUCUGGAGCAGCUGGAGGGAAGAUGGCUGAAUCUCCCUGCUCCCCUAGUGGCCAGCAGCCGCCCUCCCCGCCUUCUCCGGAUGAGCUGCCCGCCAAUGUGAAGCAGGCCUACAGGGCCUUCGCGGCCGUGCCCACUUCUCACCCGCCUGAGGAUGCCCCUGCCCAGCCCCCCACGCCUGGGCCUGCAGCCUCCCCGGAGCAGCUGUCCUUCCGGGAGCGGCAGAAGUACUUUGAGCUGGAGGUGCGCGUGCCCCAGGCCGAGGGCCCCCCUAAGCGCGUGUCCCUGGUGGGUGCUGACGACCUGCGGAAGAUGCAGGAGGAGGAAGCCAGAAAACUACAGCAGAAGAGAGCGC
rnacentral:misc_RNA from 1 species